rnacentral:rRNA from 1 species
UCGAGCGGGGGAAGGUAGCUUGCUACUGGACCUAGCGGCGGACGGGUGAGUAAUGCUUAGGAAUCUGCCUAUUAGUGGGGGACAACAUCUCGAAAGGGAUGCUAAUACCGCAUACGUCCUACGGGAGAAAGCAGGGGAUCUUCGGACCUUGCGCUAAUAGAUGAGCCUAAGUCGGAUUAGCUAGUUGGUGGGGUAAAGGCCUACCAAGGCGACGAUCUGUAGCGGGUCUGAGAGGAUGAUCCGCCACACUGGGACUGAGACACGGCCCAGACUCCUACGGGAGGCAGCAGUGGGGAAUAUUGGACAAUGGGGGGAACCCUGAUCCAGCCAUGCCGCGUGUGUGAAGAAGGCCUUAUGGUUGUAAAGCACUUUAAGCGAGGAGGAGGCUACUUUAGUUAAUACCUAGAGAUAGUGGACGUUACUCGCAGAAUAAGCACCGGCUAACUCUGUGCCAGCAGCCGCGGUAAUACAGAGGGUGCGAGCGUUAAUCGGAUUUACUGGGCGUAAAGCGUGCGUAGGCGGCUUAUUAAGUCGGAUGUGAAAUCCCCGAGCUUAACUUGGGAAUUGCAUUCGAUACUGGUGAGCUAGAGUAUGGGAGAGGAUGGUAGAAUUCCAGGUGUAGCGGUGAAAUGCGUAGAGAUCUGGAGGAAUACCGAUGGCGAAGGCAGCCAUCUGGCCUAAUACUGACGCUGAGGUACGAAAGCAUGGGGAGCAAACAGGAUUAGAUACCCUGGUAGUCCAUGCCGUAAACGAUGUCUACUAGCCGUUGGGGCCUUUGAGGCUUUAGUGCGCAGCUAACGCGAUAAGUAGACCGCCUGGGGA